CACGUAGGAUCCGAGCGUUAUCCGAAUUUACUGGGCGUAAAGCGCGUGCAGGCGGUUAGGUAAGUUGGACGUGAAAUCUCCCGGCUCAACUGGGAGGGGUCGUUCAAGACUGCCUGGCUAGAGGACGGUAGAGGGAGGUGGAAUUCCCGGUGUAGUGGUGAAAUGCGUAGAGAUCGGGAGGAACACCAGUGGCGAAGGCGGCCUCCUGGACCGUGCCUGACGCUCAGACGCGAAAGCUAGGGGAGCGAACGGG
rnacentral:misc_RNA from 1 species